UCGGGAUUGCUCCUAAUGGCAGUGAUGGGCCUACUGUUCCCUGCUGUCCUACAUUUUACACACACCGAGUUGCAUUUUGGGAAGUCAGAGCUGGCACUUUCCCGGUUUAGCAGCUGCGUAAUGCUUGUAGCAUACGGUGCAUACCUGUUUUAUCAGCUGACUAGUCAGAAUAGUUUUUACAUGCCACUUGCUGAGGAAGAGGGUGAGAAUGACGAGAGCCUAGAAGAGGA
rnacentral:misc_RNA from 1 species